AACGCAUCUUGCGCUCCUUGGUAUUCCGAGGAGCAUGCCUGUUUGAGUGUCAUUUAAUUCUCAACCCCCUCGAGCUUUUUGUUGGCUGGCUUUGGGGGCUUGGAUGUGGGGGGAUUCUUUUGCGGGUCUCAUUAGAGGUCGGCUCCCCUGAAAUGUAUUAGUGGAACUGUUUGCGGGGGACUGUUCACUGGUGUGAUAAUUAUCUACGCCAAAGACAACCGCUCUCAUGUAGUUCUGCUUCUAAUCGUCCUUUGCAUGGACAAAAUGAUAUUUGAUUACUUGACCUCAAAUCAGGUAGGACUACCCGCUGAACUUAA
rnacentral:misc_RNA from 1 species